GAUGAACGCUGGCGGCGUGCCUAAUACAUGCAAGUCGAGCGAACGGACGAGAAGCUUGCUUCUCUGAUGUUAGCGGCGGACGGGUGAGUAACACGUGGAUAACCUACCUAUAAGACUGGGAUAACUUCGGGAAACCGGAGCUAAUACCGGAUAAUAUUUUGAACCGCAUGGUUCAAAAGUAAAAGACGGUCUUGCUGUCACUUAUAGAUGGAUCCGCGCUGCAUUAGCUAGUUGGUAAGGUAACGGCUUACCAAGGCAACGAUGCAUAGCCGACCUGAGAGGGUGAUCGGCCACACUGGAACUGAGACACGGUCAAGACUCCUACGGGAGGCAGCAGUAGGGAAUCUUCCGCAAUGGGCGAAAGCCUGACGGAGCAACGCCGCGUGAGUGAUGAAGGUCUUCGGAUCGUAAAACUCUGUUAUUAGGGAAGAACAUAUGUGUAAGUAACUGUGCACAUCUUGACGGUACCUAAUCAGAAAGCCACGGCUAACUACGUG
rnacentral:rRNA from 1 species